rnacentral:rRNA from 1 species
GACGAACGCUGUCGGCGUGCUUAACACAUGCAAGUCGAGCGAUGAAGCUCCUUCGUGAGCGGAUUAGCGGCGGACGGGUGGGUAACACGUGGGCAACCUGCCUUAUAGAGAGGAAUAGCCAUCCGAAAGGAUGAUUAAUACCUCAUAAUAUUGUAGCUUCGCAUGGAGCAACAAUCAAAGGAGGAAUCCACUAUAAGAUGGGCCCGCGGCGCAUUAGCUAGUUGGUGAGGUAACGGCUCACCAAGGCGACGAUGCUUAACCUACCUGAGAGGGGGAUCGGCCACCUUGGGACUGGGGCACGGCCCAGACUCCGACGGGAGGCAGCAGUGGGGAAUACUGAACAAUGGGGGAAACCCUGAUGCAGCCACGCCGCGUGAGUCAUGACGGCCUUCGGGUUGUAAAGCUCUGUCUUCAUGGACGAUAAUGACGGUACCUGAGGAGGAAGCCACGGCUAACUACGUGCCAGCCGCCGCGGUAA